CACAGGUCUAGUCCUGGUCCCCUCCCCACCACGGGUCUAGUCCUGGUCCCCUCCCCACCACAGGCCUAGUCCUGGUCCCCUCCCCACCACGGGUCUAGUCCUGGUCCCCUCCCCACCACAGGCCUAGUCCUGGUCCCCUCCCCACCACAGGUCUAGUCCUGGUCCCCUCCCCACCACGGGCCUAGUCCUGGGCUGACGGAAUAUUCCACUGUACAUUUCUGAUUGGUCGUACUGCAGAAGUGAAGUAACUGCAGUUUCACAGCCACCGCACACUCACGUCACCUGACUGGGGCAUGGCCAGAUGGAAUGUGAGGCCUUGAUCUCCUUUGUUUUCUUUUGUGGAAGUUGGGAAGUCCCUCUUCACCUUCUCAGGGAGGGAUCUCCCCUGCAUGUUAUAUAUAUAUAAACUAAUAAUAAUAAGCAG
ensembl:lncRNA